rnacentral:pre_miRNA from 1 species
AGGGCAAUAGCUGGGUCAAAUGGUGAUUCCAUUCCCAGCUUUCCCAGGAAUCUCCAUACUGCUUUCCAAAUUGGCCGCACCAGUUUGCAGUCCCACCAGCAAU